ACAGCCUAGCUGUUAUACUUUUAGUUUAAUACCAUCCUCUAACCCCUCCGGCCUCCAUACUCGAUAUUAUGUUAUUAUUUGUAAAAUUAGUGAUAUCCCAGGUUUAAAGCUAAUGGUACUGGUAGUUUUGCUUUUGGUAUUUGAGACGGACUUUGGGAACUAAAACUUUCUUUGAAAACCCCUCUAAACAGGAGGUGAUCUACAAUAAUGAAAGAUGAUCUAUUUCUGGCCAGAAAUUUGCGGAGUUCAAUCGUCUUGAUAUCAGUCUUGGCUGCAGUUGUAUCUCUAAAAAUCAGUGACGGUUUGAGGAGACACUGCAUCUCACUGCUCAGUGGAGACACGGGGAUAUGAAGCAGUUUUCCCU